CCUACGGGCGGCUGCAGUGGGGAAUAUUGCACAAUGGGCGCAAGCCUGAUGCAGCCAUGCCGCGUGUGUGAAGAAGGCCUUCGGGUUGUAAAGCACUUUCAGCGGGGAGGAAGGCGGUGAGGUUAAUAACCUCAUCGAUUGACGUUACCCGCAGAAGAAGCACCGGCUAACUCCGUGCCAGCAGCCGCGGUAAUACGGAGGGUGCAAGCGUUAAUCGGAAUUACUGGGCGUAAAGCGCACGCGGGCGGUCUGUCAAGUCGGAUGUGAAAUCCCCGGGCUCAACCUGGGAACUGCAUUCGAAACUGGCAGGCUAGAGUCUUGUAGAGGGGGGUAGAAUUCCAGGUGUAGCGGUGAAAUGCGUAGAGAUCUGGAGGAAUACCGGUGGCGAAGGCGGCCCCCUGGACAAAGACUGACGCUCAGGUGCGAAAGCGUGGGGAGCAAACAGGAUUAGAUACCCCUGUAGUC
rnacentral:rRNA from 1 species